UUCCUUCCCUCCACACCCACCUUUAGGGAGGAGAGGCGAGCUGGAGGUUGAGUUCAGUCACAACCAAUAGCUCAUGAUUUAGUUAAUCAUGCUUAUGUGAUGAAGCCUCCAUUAAAACCCCGAAGGACAGGGUUCAGAGAACUUCCAAACUGGUGAACACCUGAAGGUACUGGGUAGGUGGCAACUUGCAAAGGGCAAGGACGCUCCAAGCCCCUUCCCACAUACCUUGCCCUAUGCAUCUCUUCUGCCUGGCUGUUCUGGAGUUAUAUCCAACCAACAAUCUAAGAGGAAAUGUCACGUGAGGGCACAUCAAGAUGACAGCGAUCUGUAAACCAGGAGGAGGCCUCAUCAGAAACCAGUUCUGUAUCACCAAGAACUUGAACUUCCAGCCUUCAAUAUGGCCACCAACAUUUAAUAAAUGUGUACAUGUCUUCCUAUGUCCUGUGAGACUCAUCUCAACCAAGAUCUCAUUUAUGAAGCUUAAUCCAAACGUUUGGUUUGAGGUA